rnacentral:rRNA from 1 species
GAGCGGCGGACGGGUGAGUAACGCGUGGGUAACCUGCCCUAUACACACGGAUAACGUACCGAAAGGUACGCUAAUACGAGAUAACAUAUUUUUAUCGCAUGGUAAGAAUAUCAAAGCUCCGGCGGUAUAGGAUGGACCCGCGUCUGAUUAGCUAGUUGGUAAGGUAACGGCUUACCAAGGCGACGAUCAGUAGCCGACCUGAGAGGGUGAUCGGCCACAUUGGAACUGAGACACGGUCCAAACUCCUACGGGAGGCAGCAGUGGGGAAUAUUGCACAAUGGGCGAAAGCCUGAUGCAGCAACGCCGCGUGAGCGAUGAAGGCCUUCGGGUCGUAAAGCUCUGUCCUCAAGGAAGAUAGUGACGGUACUUGAGGAGGAAGCCCCGGCUAACUACGUGCCAGGACGGUAACUAACCAGAAAGGGACGGCUAACUACGUGCCAGCAGCCGCGGUAAUACGUAGGUCCCGAGCGUUGUCCGGAUUUAUUGCAGCCGCGGUAAUACGUAGGGGGCUAGCGUUAUCCGGAAUUACUGGGCGUAAAGGGUGCGUAGGUGGUUUCUUAAGUCAGAGGUGAAAGGCUAC